ACUCAGGAGCAGGGAGACAGCGGGCGCGCGCGCGGAGGCCGGAGAGGCGUUUGCGGCCCAGCGCCUGGACUGGACCUUGGCGUUGGGCCGCAGUUGCCCGGAGUUUUUGGGGCCCCCGGGAACCCGCGCGCCGAGGCCGGCUAAGUUUGGCAGACUCUCUGAGCUCUCGGAAUUCGACUGCCUCCAUUGUUGCUCCUUCUGGCACCCACAGACCGUAACGUGGCCGUAAUUGUUUCCCGGAGAGCUUAGCUUCCCUCUGAGCACCUCCCUCCCCUUUUUAAAGUACCUUCCCACUCGCCUGCGUUUCCUCGCGUUAGUGGUGCAGGGGCCUCCGCAUUUGGGGAAAUAACAAACACCCACUUCCGCCCCCCACCCCAACCGGGAUCCCCAGAUAAUGAGAAAUAGAUGGUGGCCCUCUGUUUGUAAGCUGUUCAUUUGCAUAGGUCGGAACCGCGCACCACAGCUUGAAGCUAGGAAUUAAAAUAUCGGUGGGAAUUAAAUAAGUGGCUGGCUUAAAGAACAUCUUCUUAAUUUAUCCCCAAAUGUAGACAUCUCUUCAGUGGACCCCCUGAUAGGCCGGUUUGCUCCAGAAGAGACGGGGUUUCACCAUGUUGGCCAUGAUGGUCUCGAUUUCUGACCUUGUCAUCCGUCCGCCUUGGCCUCCCAAAGUGCUGGGAUUACGGGCGUGAGCCACCGUACCCAGCCUGCUUCCUGUUUUAACAGACGAAGAAAUGGAAUAACUUCCAACAAGUUGGAGCUGAAGGAGUGCCCAGGCUGCGGAUGGAGGAAGGACGUGCUCGGGAGAAGGUGAAGAUGGGAGAGAAGCAAGAUCUUCUGUGUUUGGACCAAGGACACAUUUCCUUACUCCAUAGCAGCUGUGGUCAGUGGCUUAGCUCGGACAAGGAGAUGAGAGCCCAUGUGUUGUGAGGGUUCUUCUGGGAACUCUGAGAAGGCAGGAGCCGCCCCCGCCCUUCACUGCCUCUCUUCCAUUCUGCAGCAUGGAAUAUGGAUGUGUGGUCUGGAUGUACAGACACCAUUUUGGACCAUAAAGACAAGGACGAUUGUCUAAGGAUGACACAGCCAGAGCACUGAGAGUGGCGAGAAGGACAGGGGAGCUGCUGUGCCAAGCAGGACUGUCUCUCUUAAGAGAAAAAUAAAAUUUAUUGGUGUUUAAA
rnacentral:lncRNA from 10 species